rnacentral:rRNA from 1 species
CCCUUAGAUGUUCUGGGCUGCACGCGCGCUACACUGCAGCUAUCAACACGUUUUCCCUCCCUGAGAAGGGCGGGUAACCUUUUGAAUCAGCUUCGUGGUAGGGAUCGGGGCUUGCAAUUGUUCCCCGUGAACCAGGAAUUCCUAGUAGACGCGAGUCAUAAGCUCGCAUCGAUUAAGUCCCUGCCCUUUGUACACACCGCCCGUCGCUACUACCGAUUGAACGUUUUAGUGAGGCAUUUGGACCGACGCAUCUCAGUUUAACCGCUGGUUUGUGUUGGAAAGACUUCCAAACUUGAGCGUUUAGAGGAAGUAAAAGUCGUAACA